GGAGGAACCUCUGGAGAGAACCGUACUACUUUUUUUGUAGCAAGCGGUCGCCGAAGGAGCAAGCUUAGUGCCCGUUACUUAUCUAUAAGUGAUUCGCUAAGUGAAACUCUCAGGCAAAAGGACAGAGGAGUGGAA
rfam:Vibrio splendidus LGP32 chromosome 1